UACGUAGGUGGCAAGCGUUGCCCGGAAUUAUUGGGCGUAAAGCGCGCGCAGGCGGUUUUUUAAGUCUGAUGUGAAAGCCCCCGGCUCAACCGGGGAGGGUCAUUGGAAACUGGGAAACUUGAGUGCAGAAGAGGAAAGUGGAAUUCCAAGUGUAGCGGUGAAAUGCGUAGAGAUUUGGAGGAACACCAGUGGCGAAGGCGACUUUCUGGUCUGUAACUGACGCUGAGGCGCGAAAGCGUGGGGAGCAAACAGG
rnacentral:rRNA from 1 species